GAUGAACGCUGGCGGCGUGCCUAAUACAUGCAAGUCGAGCGAACAGACGAGGAGCUUGCUCCUCUGACGUUAGCGGCGGACGGGUGAGUAACACGUGGAUAACCUACCUAUAAGACUGGGAUAACUUCGGGAAACCGGAGCUAAUACCGGAUAAUAUAUUGAACCGCAUGGUUCAAUAGUGAAAGACGGUUUUGCUGUCACUUAUAGAUGGAUCCGCGCCGCAUUAGCUAGUUGGUAAGGUAACGGCUUACCAAGGCAACGAUGCGUAGCCGACCUGAGAGGGUGAUCGGCCACACUGGAACUGAGACACGGUCCAGACUCCUACGGGAGGCAGCAGUAGGGAAUCUUCCGCAAUGGGCGAAAGCCUGACGGAGGAACGCCGCGUGAGUGAUGGAGGUCUUCGGAUCGUAAAACUCUGUUAUUAGGGAAGAACAAAUGUGUAAGUAACUAUGCACGUCUUGACGGUACCUAAUCAGAAAGCCACGGCUAACUACGUGCCAGCCGCCGCGGUAA
rnacentral:rRNA from 1 species